UCGAGAAUCUUCCGCAAUGGACGAAAGUCUGACGGAGCGACGCCGCGUGAUGGAUGAAGUCCCUCUGGGACGUAAACAUCUUUUAUGAGGGAGAAAGUUUAUUGAUAGUACCUCACGAAUAAGGGGUUGCUAAACUCGUGCCAGCAGCAGCGGUAAUACGAGUGCCCCGAGCGUUAUCCGGAAUCAUUGGGCGUAAAGGGUGUGUAGGUGGCAUUGUUAGUCACACGUUAAACCCUGGGGCUUAACCCCAGAUCUGCGUGUGAUACGGCAAAGCUAGAGGAUGGCAGGGAUGUAUGGAACUCAUGGAGUAGGGGUGAAAUCCGUUGAUAUCAUGGGGAACACCGAAAGCGAAGGCAGUACAUUGGGCCACUCCUGACACUGAAACACGAAAGCGUGGGUAGCGAAUGGGAUUAGAUACCCUUGUAGUCCCUGAGCGGGCUGGCAAGGCGCAU
rnacentral:rRNA from 1 species